CGGGAAGUCCCCAAGGCGCUGCGCCGAUUGGAAGUUCCACCACUACCGUCACCAGCACAGGGCCAAACCGAGAAACCGGGACGCGGGGGCCGCCGCCACUCAGUCCCUCCUCCACCGCCGCCGCUCCACUUCUCCAACAGCCGUCGCUCGGGCGCGCGCGCGCCGCCCGCCGCUCCGCGGUCCGCCUUCAGCAAGGGACUCCUCGGCGGCCGCGGCAGCCACCUCCUCCGCCUCCUCCUCCUCCGCGGCGGCGGCGGCGGCUCCCGCAGGCAUCUACAGUCCCGCCUCCUCCCUUCAUUUCCUUGUUUUGGAACCUGGUGGGCCGCGCCGCGGCUUUCUCGAACUCAUUAAGGAACCAAGCGUCCCGCCCCAAGGUCGCGAGCCAUUCUGGGAAAUGUAGUUCAAGAGGGCUCGUGAGUUGUGCUACCUCCUCGGGAGCGGGGAAUACAGUUCCCAGAGUUCCUGGGGCCUUUUGGGCCACGCCUCCACAAGGCAUGUACGCCUGCGCUCUGCCGCCGCCCCACCCCCUCAGCGCGCGACUGCUGUUCCUGUAAACUGUAGCGCAAAGUUGCAGCGGGAUUUUUGCGAGCCCGUGGGAGCUGGCGGGAAGGACACCUUUGCUGAGCUAGGAAGUAGAUACCCGGCCCUGACUGUCAUUAGGCUAGAAAAGCGGGAAGCACCUCACGAGAGCCUUGCUCUAGAGCUCAUUCCGGCGCAUCCGGAGCUUAGGACUGGGGUUUAGACAGUUGUACUACACAUUGUUUGUUUUCUUGGGCAAUUGAUCCUCUGGUUGCCCCGCCCCUUGCCUCGGCUUAUUGGCAGAGACUGAAGAGUGACGUCCGCUUUGGUGCCUGGUUAUCUCCGGCUUUGGCUGUUUUCCCGCUCUUGAUUGGUAAUUGGAUGUGCUCGGUUCUUCCUGAUAGGUUAAUCUUCUUUCUUUACGAUGCAAAAACCGUAUUUCAAAACCUGAAGAUUCAGCGGUUUCCCAGCUCUUGCUAGGGGAACCGUGUAACUUCUACGGCCCACAGCCAAUCAUCUUUUUCUUGGCGCUCUAGUCGGUUUUAUCCUAACAUAUGCGGGUGCGGUAGCCUAGCUUUAGCCAUCUGUCUGAGAACAAUUAAAGCGCUUGGAAGAUUG
rnacentral:lncRNA from 1 species